rnacentral:piRNA from 1 species
UGCCAUCGAUUUUAUAAACUC